rnacentral:tRNA from 1 species
GAUUUUGUAGUCAAUUAUGAUAUUAAAUUGCAAAUUUAAAGGUAUAUUUAUAUUAAAAUCU